ensembl:lncRNA
UCCGGUUUUGCCGUCAAAAGCGUCCGUGUAGCAUAAUUCUGCAUAGGUUUGGACACAAUCAGUCUUGACUCGUAUGCACUUUGCGUAUAUAUCCUUGACUUUGAUGUUGUAGUCUCCAGCGUUGUUUUGAACAGUGAACACAUUUCCCGAGCAGAUGGUAGUAGGCUACAGGGCUGUUUUGAAUGAUGUACAGUGAACAAAUUUCCCGAGCAGAUGGUGUUAAACUGCCGCGUGUAGCCUGCGCUACAUGCUACGGCUUUGGCUGAAAUAGUUUAAAUACGCAAGCGUGGACGUUGUUGCAAUUUUCUGUAAGCGUAGUCGUUAAGCGCUGAAAAUUCAUACUAUACGUUCAUCUAAGAUGGACUGAGUUUUGGCUGCAGUGCAGUGCCACUCUUUAGUUGACAGUGGACAGUUUGGAAGUGAUUUGAUGUGAUGAGCGCAGCCCCGUCAGUCUCUGUGGAACAGAUGGAUGGUCGCUGCGGGCAGUAGCACUGAAACUGUUCAGGUGGCUGGUUUUCUGGUCAUGAUUGACCUGUAUGGGCCCGUCUGCCAUUUUCCUGAGGAGGAUUUUGGACCAGUGGAACGGGCGUAGACUUGGUGAUGGUUGCGGUCUGUAGCCGGUGGCUCCUUCAGCCGGCCAGCGGUUGAAAAAACACACCGUCUCUACUUCGUCACUGCCGUCCUUGGUUUAACCACUUCCUCCUCCACUGCCUGUGCUCACCGUCUGUAAGACCUCGCCUUCCCCCCACCACCCAACAGUCUGCUCAGUGUGGAGGAACCAUGGCAACUGGCCAACCUUGUGUUGACAUCACCGAGCUUUAAAUACAAUCUCCUUGCCAGACAACUAUUCAUUCUGCAGUGUAUUCACAGCUAGCUAUAAAUACACGCCUUCCUCCUCAUAAUUGUCGCUUCACCAGACUUGUUUGGAUCAGCAGGAAACGUGUACAUUUGUUUGAGGGGCUGGCGGUUGUGUUUGUGUGUGAGGAUACAUGUCUGGGAUUCAGAUUUUCCUCUAUACGCGGG